GACUUUUAUUAGUCUGCUCGUUCGUAAUACAUUAGCAUCUCAAUUUCGAACCUCGGAUUGACUCAGCGUAAUAGACUAUUCGCUGAGGACACUUUAGCAAUAAGGUGGCCGAAUUGUAGAUAAGAGUGGAAGCUUCCAACCCUUCUAGUCAAAUUUUUAGAUUAGACCUCAGAUCAGGCAGGAUUACCCGCUGAACUUAA
rnacentral:misc_RNA from 1 species